CCUACGGGAGGCAGCAGUGGGGAAUAUUGGACAAUGGGCGAAAGCCUGAUCCAGCAAUGCCGCGUGAGUGAUGAAGGCCUUAGGGUUGUAAAGCUCUUUUACCAGGGAUGAUAAUGACAGUACCUGGAGAAUAAGCUCCGGCUAACUCCGUGCCAGCAGCCGCGGUAAUACGGAGGGAGCUAGCGUUGUUCGGAAUUACUGGGCGUAAAGCGUACGUAGGCGGUUAUUCAAGUCAGAGGUGAAAGCCUGGAGCUCAACUCCAGAACUGCCUUUGAAACUAGGUAGCUAGAAUCACGGAGAGGUUAGUGGAAUUCCGAGUGUAGAGGUGAAAUUCGUAGAUAUUCGGAAGAACACCAGUGGCGAAGGCGACUAACUGGACGUGUAUUGACGCUGAGGUACGAAAGCGUGGGGAGCAAACAGGAUUAGAUACCCUGGUAGUCCACGCCGUAAACGAUGAUAACUAGCUGUUCGGUCUCUACGAGACUGAGUGGCGCAGCUAACGCAUUAAGUUAUCCGCCUGGGGAGUACGGUCGCAAGAUUAAAACUCAAAGGAAAUUGACGGCUUGAGAGUUGCGAGCGACGACGAGGGAGAGG
rnacentral:rRNA from 1 species